AGAACGAACGUUGGCGGCGUGGAUUAGGCAUGCAAGUCGAACGAAUCCCGGGGGCAACUCCGGGGGAAGUGGCGAAAGGGGCAGUAAUGCGUGGCUAACCUACCCCGGGGAUGGGGAUAGCCUUCCUAACGGAAGGGUAAUACCCGGCGAUGUGGCGAGGGGACAUCCUCUUGCCAUGAAAUGAAUUUCGCCUCGGGAGGGGGUCACGUGCUAUUAGCUGGUUGGUGAGGUAACGGCUCACCAAGGCGAAGAUGGCUAGCGGGUGUGAGAGCACGACCCGCGCCACUGGCACUGAGACACUGGCCAGACUCCUACGGGAGGCUGCAGUCGAGGAUCUUCGGCAAUGGGCGCAAGCCUGACCGAGCGACGCCGCGUGUGCGAUGAAGGCCUUCGGGUUGUAAAGCACUGUCGAGGGGGAGGAAGCCCGCAAGGGUUGACCUAUCCCUGGAGGAAGCACGGGCUAAGUUCGUGCCAGCAGCCGCGGUAAGACGAACCGUGCGAACGUUGUUCGGAUUCACUGGGCUUAAAGGGCGCGUAGGCGGCUUGCCAAGUCAGGGGUGAAAUCUUUCGGCUCAACCGGAAAAGUGUUUCUGAUACUGGUGAGCUGGAGGGAGGUAGGGGCAGAUGGAACUUCCGGUGGAGCGGUGAAAUGCGUAGAUAUCGGAAGGCACGCCGGUGGCGAAAGCGAUCUGCUGGACCUCUUCUGACGCUGAGGCGCGAAAGCCAGGGGAGCAAACGGGAUUAGAUACCCCGGUAGUC
rnacentral:rRNA from 1 species